ensembl:lncRNA
AUCUUCAAUCUCUUUUACUUCAGAGCAUCAGUUUACCAUACCGAAAAUACUUUAUACAAAUAAAGUCUCUUUAAAGCUAUUUCUUUGGAUUCGACCCUCCUUCCACGAAGAAAUACGUUGCAAAUUGGUGACCCCUGACGAUUCUUGGAAGGUUCCGGACCGAGACCAGCGACCGCGGGGCCGUCGGGAGCAGUACAAGCUACUUACAGCGUGGUCUCAAGACGGCUGCAUAGACCCACAACUAUCGACCUUUGGUUUGGUAUGUACUGGUCUUCAUAUAUCUUCAUAAUGGAUUGGUUUAGGUACAGAUGAUUAAGGAAAGGAACUUCAACUUGGUUGCACUCAGCGUUGUUAGGAUUGGUUAAUUCUAAUGCGCAUAGCUGAAGCAAUGCGCAAGAGGGAUGUAGUGUGAAUAUUAAAUCAAGGUUGAAGGUUGAAAUCAGCUCAGAAUAAGGAAUGGGACACUCAAAACAAAAAUUUAAAAUCCGCACAAGCACUAAAUAGAUCAAUUAUAAUACAAACAUGUUUGAAACGCAUACAAUUUUCAGGUCCUAUGUUUCCAGAAGCAAGGUGAGUACAGUGUAUCACUCUGACACAGCUAACUUUGCAUCUAAUGCUUACGGUUAGAUUCAUGCUUACACUUACAUUUCUAGGGUCCCAUAAUGGACUUCCAUUAGAACAAUUAAAAAUAGAAUUAUAGGAAAUGUUUUUGAACAACUAACUGCUGUACAUGAGUUUUUAUUUCUACAAUAGAAACAAAAGUUCCAGAACCAAAUGCAGACACACCCGAGCCGAUAAACUGCCUCCGCCGAGCAAGGAGCAGUCACAUGAGGAGAUCAAAUAACGGCAGGAGUUGAAUUGGUUCUGUUUUGCUUGUCCACCAUAUAAAAAUUAUGUAUAUAUAUAUUGUUUAGAUAAAUUACAUGUAUCAUAAUCAGCAACACUUCGUUCAGUUUAACAGAUAAAGUUAAAAGGAAUAUGUAUAUAUAUGGAAAUGUUAUUGACAGAGCAAGGAGGGAU